CCUACGGGUGGCAGCAGUGAGGAAUAUUGGUCAAUGGGCUUACGCCUGAACCAGCCAAGUCGCGUGAGUGAAGACUGCCCUAUGGGUUGUAAACCUCUUUUGUCAGGGAGCAAUUGUCGCUACGUGUAGCGUUCUCGAGAGUACCUGAAGACCAAGCAUCGGCUAACUCCGUUCCAGCAGCCGCGUUAAUCCGGAGGAUGCGAGCGUUAUCCGGAUUUAUUGGGUUUAAAGGGUGCGUAGGCGGAAUGCCAAGUCAGCGGUAAAAUCGCGGGGCUCAACCUCGCUCCGCCGUUGAAACUGGGGGUCUGGAGUGGGCGAGAAGUAGGCGGAAUGCGUGGUGUAGCGGUGAAAUGCAUAGAUAUCACGCAGAACUCCGAUUGCGAAGGCAGCAUACCGGAGCCCAACUGACGCUGAAGCACGAAAGCGUGGGUAUCGAACAGGAUUAGAUACCCCGGUAGUC
rnacentral:rRNA from 1 species